ensembl:lncRNA
GAGGGUGUCUUGCUGGAGAUCUCUGUGUACCUGAGGUCUUCUAAAGAGUUACAGAAGCUUUCAUGUAUACUGGAAGAAAUAUUCAGUGUUUGUAGUCCAACAGCUCAACGUUGCUCAGCAGAUCAAUCAUAAUGAAAAUGAGUAUAAUAGCAGAAAUAACUUGUACUAAUGGCUCACGGGAGGAUAAUUGGGAAGGUUGCCUUCUGCGAAGCGGGUGAGCGAGCAGAAUAUCGGCUUGACCAAACCAGUGCAGGAGCUGCAGGGUUUUGCUUGGAUGGAACUUUACUUUUUGUGGAAAUCUUCUCAGGCUGUUGGUCAAGGUGUUUCCAUGGCAACUGAAGGAAUUCCGUUUUGGUGAUGGGUCACAGCAGGGAGCGGUGGGCUCAUGGCAGGCAGUGGGUGGGUGCUCUGGGG